rnacentral:misc_RNA from 1 species
GGUUUCAAUCUGUCACAUAUUUCACUGAAAGUGACGAAGGAAACAGCCCAUGUUUUACAAGAUCAUUAUCCAGAACGGCUGGGUCUGGCAGUACUGUACAACCCACCCAAGUUCUUUGAACCAUUUUGGACGAUGGCAAAAGCAUUUCUAGAGCCUAAAACUUACAAUAAAGUCAAGUUUGUUUACUCUGAUGAAGCUAACACCAUGAAAGUAAUGGAAGAUCUAUUUGAUAUGGACCAACUUGAGUCUGCAUUUGGGGGCAAAGACAAUUCAGGAUUUGAUGUCAGUAAAUACGCUGAGAGGAUGAAGGAGGAUGACAAAAGGAUGCCUUCAUUUUGGACGAGAGAUAGUCAUCCCUCGGCAGUGCCACAACCAGCCCUGAAAUCUGCUGCUUCCUUGGAUGUUAGCGUGGACUCACAUUCUGAUGCUUCUGAAAAUGAUGAAACAGACUGUUUAGAUGUUAAUGGGAUAGAUUCAGAAAUCCUCUCCCUUGAGGACAAUACUUCAGCAAUUGAUAGUGGCAGAAAAGGGUCAGAAAAUGUACAUCCCGGUGAAGUCAAAACCCAUAAUGAUCGAGCACAUUUCUGACUCUGGUUAAGGUAUGAUGACAUAAUAGUGUUGAUGUUAGCCCCGCUGACUAAUUAGAAGACUUAAACCUCGUGCGUUUCUGUCAAUUUAGUAUUAAUAACAUUAUGGAAAUUCUACAAAAUUGACAGAAACGCACGAGGUUUAAGUCUUCUAAUUAGUCAGCGGGGCUAACAUCAACACUAUUAUGUCAUCAUACCUUAACCAGAGUCAGAAAUGUGCUCGAUCAUUAUGGGUUUUGACUUCACCGGGAUGUACAUUUUCUGACCCUUUUCUGCCACUAUCAAUUGCUGAAGUAUUGUCCUCAAGGGAGAGGAUUUCUGAAUCUAUCCCAUUAACAUCUAAACAGUCUGUUUCAUCAUUUUCAGAAGCAUCAGAAUGUGAGUCCACGCUAACAUCCAAGGAAGCAGCAGAUUUCAGGGCUGGUUGUGGCACUGCCGAGGGAUGACUAUCUCUCGUCCAAAAUGAAGGCAUCCUUUUGUCAUCCUCCUUCAUCCUCUCAGCGUAUUUACUGACAUCAAAUCCUGAAUUGUCUUUGCCCCCAAAUGCAGACUCAAGUUGGUCCAUAUCAAAUAGAUCUUCCAUUACUUUCAUGGUGUUAGCUUCAUCAGAGUAAACAAACUUGACUUUAUUGUAAGUUUUAGGCUCUAGAAAUGCUUUUGCCAUCGUCCAAAAUGGUUCAAAGAACUUGGGUGGGUUGUACAGUACUGCCAGACCCAGCCGUUCUGGAUAAUGAUCUUGUAAAACAUGGGCUGUUUCC